rnacentral:rRNA from 1 species
UACGUAGGGUGCAAGCGUUAAUCGGAAUUACUGGGCGUAAAGCGUGCGCAGGCGGUGAUGUAAGACAGAUGUGAAAUUCCCGGGCUCAACCUGGGAACUGCAUUUGUGACUGCAUCGCUGGAGUGCGGCAGAGGGGGAUGGAAUUCCGCGUGUAGCAGUGAAAUGCGUAGAUAUGCGGAGGAACACCGAUGGCGAAGGCAAUCCCCUGGGCCUGCACUGAAGCUCAUGCACGAAAGCGUGGGGAGCAAACCGG